GGAUGUGAGGGUGAUCAGACUAGGACAUCUGUCACUCCAUUUAUUGCCAGGGUUGAUUGGGUGGCCAGGUGGUGUUCCCUUCCUCCCUCACUGCGCCCUGUGCAUCCCCCCCAAAGCUGCAGGCUCCGUGGAAGAGAAUGACUCUCCCUGAUAGAGGAGAGGGUAAAGGAAUAUCUGUGCUCCCCUGCUGGGUCUUCCAAACAAGCUCUCAAGGCCCAUUUUUAGGAGAACAUAGGCUAGUCAUGUUUCCAAGACUCCAGACAUAUCCACAUGAGGUGCUGCAUGUGGCAGUUUGCCUUUCUUU
ensembl:misc_RNA 7SK 7SK RNA